AGUAAAAGUCGUAACAAGGUUUCCGUAGGUGAACCUGCGGAAGGAUCAUUACAUUUUCACAACAACGAUGGCGUCGUCCUUAGAACCGUCUCCGUGCGGCUCGGGGCGGCGUUUCAUCGGCGGGCACGUCGCGGCUUCCUGUUUUUAAAAGGAGGACGGAGUAAGAGAUUAGUCGGCUCGCUGCUACCUCUUCCGUCACAUACUCCUCAGGAAGUAAUCCCGUCUAGAACGGACUCACGCGGGGUCGUCUGAAUCCUUAACUUUACGAGAACUCCCCAUACUCCUUCGGUGGGGUGACCUGCCGUUGGAACCAACAAAAACCUUUUUUUGCAUCUAAUAUUACCUGUUCUGAUACAAACAAUCGUUACAACUUUCAACAAUGGAUCUCUUGGCUCUGGCAUCGAUGAAGAACGCAGCGAAAUGCGAUAAGUAGUGUGAAUUGCAGAAUUCAGUGAAUCAUCGAAUCUUUGAACGCACAUUGCGCCCCUUGGUAUUCCAUGGGGCAUGCCUGUUCGAGCGUCAUCUACACCCUCAAGCUCUGCUUGGUGUUGGGCGUCUGUCCCGCCUCCGCGCGUGGACUCGCCCCAAAUUCAUUGGCAGCGGUCUUCUUGCCCCCUCUCGCGCAGCACAUUGCGCUUCUCGAGGGCGGCGGGCCGCGUCCACGAAGCAACAUUCACCGUCUUUGACCUCGGAUCAGGUAGGGAUACCCGCUGAACUUAAGCAUAUCAAUAAGCGGAGGAAAAGAAACCAACAGGGAUUGCCCUAGUAACG
rnacentral:rRNA from 1 species